UGGAUUACACUUCAGUAUGUAGGAUUCGAUUAUAACUUUGAAGUGUCCUGACUUUGUAUCUGAAAACAUGUAUGGAUAUGCACUCAUGAGGGGCGAGAGGACAAAUGUCCUCCUGUGUGUCCUAUAA
rfam:Ictidomys tridecemlineatus contig004136, whole genome shotgun sequence.